UGGCGGGCAGGGGGGAGGAGGAGGAGGAGCCGGGCGGGCUGGCGGGCGGCCGGGUGGCGGUGGCGGCAUGGCGGAACCGAGUGGGGCCGAGGCGAGGCCCCCUAUUCGGGUCACCGUCAAGACCCCCAAAGAUAAGGAGGAAAUUGUGAUCUGCGAUCGAGCCUCAGUCAAGGAGUUCAAAGAGGAAAUCUCCCGGAGGUUUAAGGCUCAGCAGGAUCAGCUGGUCCUGAUCUUCGCAGGCAAGAUUCUCAAGGAUGGAGACACACUGAACCAGCAUGGGAUCAAGGACGGGCUCACUGUCCAUUUGGUCAUCAAGACCCCUCAGAAGACUCAAGAUCCAGCUGCUACCACUGCUUCUUCUCCCUCCACUCCUGACCCUGCCUCAGCGCCCUCUACCACGCCUGCUUCACCUGCCACCCCUGCCCAGCCUUCCACCUCUGGCAGCACCUCUUCGGAUGGUGGCAGUGGAAGUCGAAGGAGCAGUGGAGGAGGUCCCUCCCCUGGGGAGGGACCCCCCAAUGCUACUGCAUCUAUACUCUCUGGCUUUGGGGGCAUCCUAGGGCUGGGCAGCCUGGGCCUUGGCUCUGCUAACUUCAUGGAGCUGCAGCAGCAGAUGCAGAGGCAGUUGAUGUCCAACCCUGAGAUGCUGUCACAGAUCAUGGAGAAUCCCUUGGUCCAGGAUAUGAUGUCCAACCCUGACCUCAUGCGCCACAUGAUCAUGGCCAAUCCCCAGAUGCAGCAGCUGAUGGAGCGGAAUCCAGAGAUCAGCCACAUGCUCAACAACCCUGAGCUCAUGAGGCAGACAAUGGAGCUUGCUCGGAAUCCAGCCAUGAUGCAAGAGAUGAUGCGGAACCAGGACCGCGCCCUGAGUAAUCUCGAGAGCAUCCCUGGGGGCUAUAAUGCCCUCCGCCGCAUGUACACAGACAUCCAGGAGCCCAUGUUCAGUGCUGCAAGAGAACAGUUUGGCAACAAUCCCUUCUCUUCCCUGGCGGGGAACUCCGACAGCUCAUCCUCCCAGCCUCUGCGGACUGAGAAUCGAGAGCCCCUCCCUAACCCCUGGAGCCCCUCGCCCCCCACCUCCCAGGGCCCUGGAUCUGGUAGGGAGGGCACCGGAGGAUCGGGGACCAGCCAGGUGCACCCCACAGUCUCAAAUCCCUUUGGGAUCAAUGCGGCUAGCCUGGGGUCAGGGAUGUUCAACAGCCCAGAAAUGCAGGCACUCUUGCAGCAGAUUUCUGAGAACCCCCAGCUCAUGCAGAAUGUGAUCUCAGCCCCCUACAUGCGCAGCAUGAUGCAGACGCUGGCCCAGAACCCUGACUUUGCUGCUCAGAUGAUGGUGAAUGUGCCACUCUUCGCGGGGAACCCCCAACUGCAGGAGCAGCUCCGCCUGCAGCUCCCCGUCUUCCUGCAGCAGAUGCAGAACCCGGAGUCACUGUCUAUCCUUACCAAUCCCCGUGCCAUGCAAGCAUUACUGCAGAUCCAGCAGGGACUACAGACCUUGCAGACUGAGGCCCCUGGGCUGGUACCCAGUCUUGGCUCCUUUGGGAUGCCCCGGACUCCAGCAGCUUCGGCAGGUAGCAACUCUGGGUCUACAACUGAGGCCCCCACCUCGUCGCCAGGCACACCAGCCACAUCUCCUCCCACAGGGGCGUCCAAUGCCCAGCAGCAGCUCAUGCAGCAGAUGAUCCAGCUUUUGGCUGGAAGUGGAAACUCACAGGAAUUGAAGCCAGUCCUUGUGCAUGCUCAGCUCAUCUUAUCCCAUUGAGACAUACCCCCAACUUGUGCAGAGAAUUCUUUUGAUGAUUAAAGCAGUGUCCAUCUCAGAGACUGAGGAGGAUGGGUCUGGAAAGUGAAGUGGCUGGUGUCCUGGAUCAUAAAGUCAAGGCCAGGGGUGGAGAUGAACUAGGGUGCAGACACCAGAAAUAAGAUUUCAGCAGCAACUGGAACAGCUCAACUCCAUGGGAUUCAUCAAUCGUGAGGCCAACCUGCAAGCCCUAAUUGCUACAGGAGGGGACAUCAACGCAGCUAUCGAGAGACUUCUGGGCUCCCAGCUCUCCUAAUCCCUUGGCCCAUGCCUCCUGCCUCUCCUUCAACUCAGUGCCAGCCUUUGGUGCCUCUGUCAGCCCCUGCCUCUGCAGCUUGUCCCUCUGCCUUCUUGCUUGUCCUCUCCAAACAGCAGGGUGAUUUUAGAGGCACAGGUUCCAGGCUCUGUAGCUCUGAGAAUUUGUUUUACUGCUGUCUUUUGACAGAAUCUUCUCUCCUGGUCCUCUUUGAGCAGAGCCCUUCACACAGUUUACAGCUCUGUUGAUUGGCCCACUUCCUUGCCACAGUCACUUUUUGAAGCCUUCAAACUUCUCAGUGGGACUGCAGUGUUGAAGGAGGAUGCAGCCGUCUGAGUGGAACAGUCUUCCAUCAAUACCACCAGGGCUUAGCUUGUCUCACAUUGACUUUGGUAGCUCUCUUCUUGCUGCUUCCCCUCCCCAUCCCACCCUAACCAGGCUAGAAUUUCACAUGCUGAAGGUGAGGGACAGAUGAUCCAGGCUUUGGUUUUUUCCCAACUUUUUUUCUGGUUACUUCAUCUACCACUUUCUUACAUUCUCUGUGGGGACUUUUCAGGGAACAGCAGGAGAUACCUGUUCCCUUGUACUGGUGUGGAGCUGAAACUUAGCUCUGGACAGGAGUCAACAGGCCUGGUACCAGCUUAGUGUAGACUCCUGUGCUUGAGGAGGAAUUGGAAUUUCUUGGGUGAAGAGAAUGGGCAAGAGCAAGUUGGAUAUGUAAUUGACAGCUGAAGCAUGGAAGUGCUCGUAGACCUUUUAGUCAGGAGCAUUCAGAGUGGAAUAAGAUCCUGGUAGAAGUAGGAUUAAAGAAGGGGCUCCAUGAAGCUAAGCAGUUUGAACUACGAGCUCCAUUUUCUCAGACACACAUGCACACACACGCACAGAUUUCCAUGAACCCAGGACCUAUUUGUACUUGGCACAGUCAUUUCUACUUCCUUCAGAACAAUGAAGGGGAUAGAGAUCUGUCCCAACAGUGGGGUAGCAUGCGUCUGGGUGUGUGUUAGGGUAGGUUAUUUGCUGAUUUCUGGGCUGUCACCAGAGACAAGUAGGUCACAGGGCCAGUCUAGUGCGGGAGUAGUUCAUCUAGAAGAGCUAGGUUCCCUGAACUUUUAGGUGCUGGGUCACAGACAGUGUGGAUACCUUCUGAAGCUAUCAGCCACAUGUGACUGGCCCCUUCCUGUCACUACUUUGGAGAAUAGCAGAGGAAUUUCUCCCUCUAGAGUCCUUGGCCUUUCAGUUGUUUACUGUUUCUUUCCAGGCCAGAAUGUGUUUUUGUUUAGGUUUUUGUGGUGCUGGGGAUUGAACCCAAGGUUUCAUGCAUGCUAGGCAAGUGCUGGACCACUAAACUACAUCCUCAGCACAGAGUUCUUUUUGAGGAAGGAGAGGGGAGGGUGGCAGUGAUGCCUUUAAUCUGGAACUGGACAUUGCUCUGUUUGGGCACAAGGAUGCUCUUUAUCACCUCCACCUGGGUGUGGAGGACCCCCUGGCUGAUGAUAGGGAGGAGGCAAGAGGAACCGAAUUCCACUCUAAAAUGGGGAUGGGUCCCAAGCAGUUCAGAGAUGUUUACCCUUUGCCUCCUGACCUCCCCAACACCCUCACUGGCCUUUGUAAAUAAAUGGUGUGAUCUUUGUUGUGA